UGCUUUCAAAACUACUAGGCUAGAGUAUCAGAGGGGAUGGCGGAAUUCCUAGUGUAGAGGUGAAAUUCGUAGAUAUUAGGAGGAACACCGGUGGCGAAAGCGGCCAUCUGGUUGAUUACUGACGCUGUUGUACGAAAGCGUGGGGAGCAAACAGGAUUAGAUACCCUGGUAGUCCACGCAGUAAACGAUGAGUGCUAGAUGUUGAGGUUCUUCCUCAGUGUCGCAGCUAACGCGUUAAGCACUCCGCCUGGGGAGUACGGUCGCAAGAUUAAAACUCAAAGGAAUUGACGGGGACCCGCACAAGCGGUGGAACAUGUGGUUUAAUUCGAUGCUACGCGAAAAACCUUACCAGAUCUUGACAUGAUAGUCGUACAGCUAGGAAACU
rnacentral:rRNA from 1 species